UUUCACGGAACCCGGGCAAAUGACAAAUCUGCAGGCGACGCGUUGAUACUGAAGGCGCAACCUGACACGCACGCUCCUUGCGUGUUGCAAGGACUUCCUUCCGUUUUACAAACCCUGUUAAUCUACAUAUGUCUCUGCCCUCCUCUUUUCCUUCCGCCUUUACCUGCUAGUCUGUCGCCAGCAAUGUCUCUUUCACUGCAUGUUCUCGGUUCCGCUCAACAUGCCCCUCCUAUAUGCUCCACUCGAUUUAGGGCAGAAACCUAGGAAUUACUGCUACCUCCUCCUCUGCCAUCUCUCCUAUAGAUCCUGCAAAUCUCUUUUCUCCACUAUAAUGGUGGUGUGAUGAUGAUGGCAAUGACAAAGAUAUUUCAUAUCUCGGGUCAUCUUCUGUAAGCAGGUCAUGAAACAGGUUACAGAACUAACUUGACUGCAGCCUCCAGUGUUACACAGAAUAUUUCUUGGCAUGUGCUUGUUUCGAGUGGGUCCAGGCUCAGUCACCGGCAUCCUUGGGCCUGGACACUGCCCCAGUGCACUCACCUGGCGCUUCAUCACAGACCUUCCACGUGAGAGCUGGAUAUGGAGCAAAAGAACCAGACUUCUUGAGCUAUGAGAGGGAAUUACAAAGAGGGAGAAAGUGAGAAUAAAGGAAAGAACCUGUGGAAGGAGAGCAAAGGCACAGGGACACGUGACAC